UGGGGAAUAUUGGACAAUGGGCGCAAGCCUGAUCCAGCCAUGCCGCGUGAGUGAUGAAGGCCUUAGGGUUGUAAAGCUCUUUUGUCCGGGAAGAUAAUGACUGUACCGGAAGAAUAAGCCCCGGCUAACUUCGUGCCAGCAGCCGCGGUAAUACGAAGGGGGCUAGCGUUGCUCGGAAUCACUGGGCGUAAAGGGCGCGUAGGCGGACUCUUAAGUCGGGGGUGAAAGCCCAGGGCUCAACCCUGGAAUUGCCUUCGAUACUGAGAGUCUUGAGUUCGGAAGAGGUUGGUGGAACUGCGAGUGUAGAGGUGAAAUUCGUAGAUAUUCGCAAGAACACCAGUGGCGAAGGCGGCCAACUGGUCCGAUACUGACGCUGAGGCGCGAAAGCGUGGGGAGCAAACAGG
rnacentral:rRNA from 4 species